rnacentral:rRNA from 1 species
AGAGUUUGAUCAUGGCUCAGGACGAACGCUGGCGGCGUGCUUAACACAUGCAAGUCGAGCGAUGAAACACCUUCGGGUGUGAAUUAGCGGCGAACGGGUGAGGAACACGUGAAGAAUCUGCCUUCAACUCUGGGAUAACUCCGGGAAACCGGGGCUAAUACCGGAUAUGAGCCUUGAUCGCAUGAUCGGGGCUGGAAAGUUUUUCGGUUGAAGAUGACUUCGCGGCCUAUCAGCUUGUUGGUGAGGUAAUGGCUCACCAAGGCGACGACGGGUAGCCGGCCUGAGAGGGCGACCGGCCACACUGGGACUGAGACACGGCCCAGACUCCUACGGGAGGCAGCAGUGGGGAAUAUUGGGCAAUGGAGGAAACUCUGACCCAGCGACGCCGCGUGAGGGAUGAAGGCCUUCGGGUUGUAAACCUCUUUCAGUAGGGAAGAAGCGAAAGUGACGGUACCUACAGAAGAAGCACCGGCUAACUAUGUGCCAGCAGCCGCGGUAAUACAUAGGGUGCAAGCGUUGUCCGGAAUUAUUGGGCGUAAAGAGCUCGUAGGUGGUUCGAUACGUCGGAUGUGAAAAUCAGGGGCUCAACCCCUGACCUGCAUCCGAUACGGUCGAGCUAGAGUUUGGUAGGGGAGACUGGAAUUCCUGGUGUAGCGGUGGAAUGCGCAGAUAUCAGGAGGAACACCGAUGGCGAAGGCAGGUCUCUGGGCCAAUACUGACACUGAGGAGCGAAAGCGUGGGGAGCGAACAGGAUUAGAUACCCUGGUAGUCCACGCCGUAAACGGUGGGCGCUAGUUGUGCGAACCUUCCACGGUUUGUGCGACGCAGCUAACGCAUUAAGCGCCCCGCCUGGGGAGUACGAUCGCAAGAUUAAAACUCAAAGGAAUUGACGGGGCCCCGCACAAGCAGCGGAGCAUGCGGCUUAA